rnacentral:rRNA from 1 species
GACGAACGCUGGCGGCGUGCUUAACACGUGCAAGUCGAACGGAAAGGCCCUGCUUUUGUGGGGUGCUCGAGUGGCGAACGGGUGAGUAACACGUGAGUAACCUGCCCUUGACUUUGGGAUAACUUCAGGAAACUGGGGCUAAUACCGGAUAGGAGCUCCUGCUGCAUGGUGGGGGUUGGAAAGUUUCGGCGGUUGGGGAUGGACUCGCGGCUUAUCAGCUUGUUGGUGGGGUAGUGGCUUACCAAGGCUUUGACGGGUAGCCGGCCUGAGAGGGUGACCGGCCACAUUGGGACUGAGAUACGGCGCAGACUCCUACGGGAGGCAGCAGUGGGGAAUAUUGCACAAUGGGCGGAAGCCUGAUGCAGCAACGCCGCGUGCGGGAUGACGGCCUUCGGGUUGUAAACCGCUUUCGCCUGUGACGAAGCGUGAGUGACGGUAAUGGGUAAAGAAGCACCGGCUAACUACGUG